rnacentral:lncRNA from 1 species
UUGGUACUACGGAUCAAUAGUUUUAAAGAUGCAAACUUUUUUUUUUCUUUGGGUCUGAUUGGGGUUUGAGUAGGUAACAUCUCCUUAUGGGAACGAUCUUCAUCACCAAGACAAUGUAACGCACGGUCAGUUUGCGUUCACAACUCAAGAGACAGGGAACUACUUGGCUUGUUUCUCGGUUGAUUCAAGUCAUCCGCUACCUAAUCCGUUGACCCUUGGGAUUGAUUGGAAGACUGGUAUCGCCGCCAAAGAUUGGGACUCUGUUGCUAAAAAGGAAAAGAUCGAGGCAAGUUACAUUUACAUUUACAUCUCCUCUCUUUUCUUCUUUGUGAUGUGUUGCUACAUCGUUAUGAAUGUGUAUUGUUUUUUGCAGGGUGUUGAGCUUCAGUUAACGAGACUUGAGGGGUUAGUGCAAGCGAUUCGUGAGAACAUCGAGUAUAUAAAGAACAGGUACGUCUCUACCUCUUUUGUCUCCUACAAAAUAGUGAUAUGUAAAGCAAAUUUUGGAUACAGGGAAGGGGAGAUGCGAGGAGUGAGUGAAGCAACCAACGCAAGAGUGGCUUGGUUCAGUAUAAUGUCACUUGGGGUUUGUCUUUCAGCAGCGGGUGCGCAGAUAUGGUACCAAAAAAAAAAAAAAAAAAAAAAAAAAAAAAAACUGUCCCAUAACUUACACUCGAAAGCUAACAUAAGAGUAGAGAGAAUUACCACAUAUUUAUAUAUUUUGUCCAAAAAUAUCUAUUUUUUCAGUGUAGGGACAAUUGUAAGAAUCAGCAAAUCUUUUAUUUGUAUAUUCAGAUCUAUGAUUUAGUCGGUUUUGAAAAAGUUAAAACUGAGGUGGGGACAUAAAACAUGAUAGAUCCCUACAUACAUUGUAUGUUUCGUAAACAACAAAAAAGACUCGUACAUGGUUGUUCCUCUAGCAAGAAUAAAGAUUUUAUUUUAUUCGAUAUUUGUAUUUUACGUUGUGAUCCUUCGAACUCACGAUCAUAUUAAGAAAACAUGUGUUACAGAAGAAAAAACAAUCGGUCCAUUCAACCAGGCGUAGAAACAAAACAAAUAAUGACAAAUAAUAGAUAGGCGGGAAGGUGGUACAGAAAGCCCAUUUACGAAUUUGAAUGGGCCGAACAAAUAACCGUGGGUCCAAUCCAAAACUUUGUGUUAGUCCACCAAACGGAACCCUCUUAACCAUUCAGAAGGUGCGAUCAGCAUCGAUGACGCGCUACCUCCAUUAAAGACACGCCACGUCAACCAUUAUUCGCAAUCUGAUUGGCUGAUCACACGUUGAAGCAAGUCACCUAAAACACGAAACACCUCCCACUCGCGUCAUUUAAGACACACGCGCGCGUGAACUCUCUCUCUCUCUCUCUCUCUCUGUCUUUGUUUUGGUUUGGUUUUGGAAGGACUUUGACCUUCCCCUUGUGCUUGUUGGACUUGGUCGGGGUAAGAAAAAGAGAAGAAGACCCUCGCUGCUCUCCGAUGGCGAUCAGAGGAAUCUUUACGAUUUCAACGGUGGUGUUGUUUCUGCUGACGGUGAAUCACGGCGAAGCUAUAUGGCUGACGAUUCCGGCGACGGGAGGGACCAAGUGCGUCUCCGAGGAGAUACAGAGCAACGUCGUCGUCAUGGCUGAUUACUACGUCGUCGAUGAGCAGAACCCUGGAAACACACCUGCUGUUUCCGCUAAGGUACGGCUCCGAAUCAAACUUAUGUAUUCGAUUGAGUUCAAAGUUGUGAACUUUAUGUCGGUGGCUUUGGUACUACGGAUCAAUAGUUUUAAAGAUGCAAACUUUUUUUUUUCUUUGGGUCUGAUUGGGGUUUGAGUAGGUAACAUCUCCUUAUGGGAACGAUCUUCAUCACCAAGACAAUGUAACGCACGGUCAGUUUGCGUUCACAACUCAAGAGACAGGGAACUACUUGGCUUGUUUCUCGGUUGAUUCAAGUCAUCCGCUACCUAAUCCGUUGACCCUUGGGAUUGAUUGGAAGACUGGUAUCGCCGCCAAAGAUUGGGACUCUGUUGCUAAAAAGGAAAAGAUCGAGGCAAGUUACAUUUACAUUUACAUCUCCUCUCUUUUCUUCUUUGUGAUGUGUUGCUACAUCGUUAUGAAUGUGUAUUGUUUUUUGCAGGGU